GUGCCAGCAGCCGCGGUAAUUCCAGCUCCAAUAGCGUAUAUUAAAGUUGUUGUGGUUAAAAAGCUCGUAGUUGAACCUUGGGCCUGGCUGGCCGGUCCGCCUCACCGCGUGCACUGGUCCGGCCGGGCCUUUCCCUCUGUGGAACCCCAUACCCUUCACUGGGCGUGGCGGGGAAACAGGACAUUUACUUUGAAAAAAUUAGAGUGCUCCAGGCAGGCCUAUGCUCGAAUACAUUAGCAUGGAAUAAUAAAAUAGGACGCGCGGUUCUAUUUUGUUGGUUUAUAGGACCGCCGUAAUGAUUAAUAGGGACAGUCGGGGGCAUCAGUAUUCAACUGUCAGAGGUGAAAUUCUUGGAUCAGUUGAAGACUAACUACUGCGAAAGCAUUUGCCAAGGAUGUUUUCAUUAAUCAGGAACGAAAGUUAGGGGAUCGAAGACGAUCAGAUACCGUCGUAGUCUUAACCAUAAACUAUGCCGACUAGGGAUCGGACGGUGUUAUUCAUGACCCGUUCGGCACCUUACGAGAAAUCAAAGUGCUUGGGCUCCAGGGGGAGUAUGGUCGCAAGGCUGAAACUUAAAGAAAUUGACGGAAGGGCACCACCAGGGGUGGAGCCUGCGGCUUAAUUUGACUCAACACGGGGAAACUCACCAGGUCCAGACACAAUAAGGAUUGACAGAUUGAGAGCUCUUUCUUGAUUUUGUGGGUGGUGUGCAUGGCCGUUCUUAGUGGUGGGGUGACCUGUCUGCUAAAUGCGAUACGACGAGACCUUACUGCUAAAUAGCCCGCAUGCUCCGGCAGUGCGCUGGCUUCUUAGAGGGACUUCGGCUCAAG
rnacentral:rRNA from 1 species